UACGGAGGGGGCUAGCGUUGUUCGGAAUUACUGGGCGUAAAGCGCGCGUAGGCGGCUUUGUAAGUUAGAGGUGAAAGCCCGGAGCUCAACUCCGGAAUUGCCUUUAAGACUGCAUCGCUAGAAUCAUGGAGAGGUGAGUGGAAUUCCGAGUGUAGAGGUGAAAUUCGUAGAUAUUCGGAAGAACACCAGUGGCGAAGGCGGACUUCCAC
rnacentral:rRNA from 1 species